GGACUCGACACGGGGUGCCGGACACGGCUGAGAGAACACCCGUCGAACCUGAUCUCGAUUAUGCGAGCGAAGGGAUGCCGAGCCGGCGCCAG
rnacentral:ncRNA from 2 species